UUUGAUUUUGUUUUCCUUAACAGGGAAUAAGGUUGAAUGGAAUCAAUCUAAAUCAUUAAGAUAUCCAUGAUCCAUCACCAAUCAAUCUGGCGUUGAAGGGAAUAAUAUUUGUUAAUAGUGUUGCAAUUCGUGUGAGCAAUUCAAUAUGCAAUCUUCGAGAUGCUCUAUGAAGAUGUUGCUGUUGGUGCAAAAUAGAGUCAAAAACUAGUUGCUGCGAUUUUUGAUUGCAAUCACUUGGAGGCGAUGCCUAACUGUUGGUUCCAUCGUCGUCGAGGAAGUAGAUGUCAGCUUAGAAU
rnacentral:misc_RNA from 1 species